UUUCCGACGGACAUUUCUACAUUUUAUUGACUAAGAACUUUUAUGUUGUAAAUAUUUAUCUUGUUUAUUUCUUUCCUUGUUUACAAGAAAAUAGAUGACUCGAGUGUUACAAACUAUAGUUUUUAAGGAAUAAUGUGAAAUAAGUUAAUUUUUAUAGGAUAAAAAACUUAAUCAACAUGAUAACUUAAUAACAUUAGUCCUACCAGACACUAACUUAGUUUUAUAGAUGAUCCUGGAGCAAAGGCUGUAAUUUAACCUGAACCCAAAUUGGUCUCUGUUUUAAAUAUUGUCUUGAACCAAUAAGUUAAGAGGACUAACUGUUCUGGACGACAUUGCCAUCGAUAUCACUGCAGAUGAGAGAGAAAGAGAGACCAGAGUUGUGUACCCUGGAGGCAAUUACCAUACUGCUGUGAUAAUGUUCCUUGGUCUAACCAUAACUUAAGUGAGAGCUGAAGCCUACCAGUAAAAUGGGGGUGUUGUAAUUAAUAUCCUCCGACACUGGAGGAUACAGGGGAGAGGUGUCAGAGGAAGAGGAGAUGGAGGAUGGGGCCAGUAAGACUAAGAUUGAAGAAAACUAACUUAUGGCCUGAUGACAGGGUGGAUGGCAAUGGAGGCAUGGAGGUUGGGGGAGAGAAGGCUGAAGAAGUGAAGACAAAUCAGUUUAGAUUCAUUAUAAUGAUUAGUUUAAUAUUUAUUUUGAAUACCAGUAUACUUUUAUUUAAAUUUUUUCUCAUUUAGAUUAUUUAAUUAAGAAAAUUUUAUUAUUUUUAUAAAGAUGUUUUCUUAAAUUUUUAAUAUUUGUUUGUACUUCUGCCUGGUAAAAAACAAAACUGUUUAUUAUGUUUGUUAAAAUGAUUAGCCUACUUCCACUAAUGGACCUUGUCUUGGGUGAAAAGAGAUAUCUUGAUAUUUAACUAGCAGGGUGCCUGUUCUAUCUAUGGGCGGGGAUCGUAUAAGUCAGUUGAAUUGAAACCUUCUUAUAUUUCGAUAUUUGGUAAAUUAAUCAUUUCCAACUUUAUAUAGUAUAGAUCGCUAUUUCUGUAUUGAUGUACUGAAAUGAAUAAAAUUAUAUGAAAUUAAA